ensembl:snRNA U6 U6 spliceosomal RNA
GUGCUGACUUCCGCAGCACGUACGCUAAAAUCGGAACGACACAGAGAUUAGCACGGCCCCUGCAAAGGGAUGACACUCAAAUUCGUGAAGGGGUCCGUAUUGAU